rnacentral:rRNA from 1 species
GGACAACCUGCCCUUAGGUUGGGUAUAAACCCGGGAAACUGGGUAUAAUCCCCUAUAAGUCUCGGCUGCUGGAAUGCACCGAGAUUAAAAGCUCCGGCGCCUAAGGAUGGGUCUGCGGCCUAUCAGGUAGUAGUGGGUGUAGCGUACCUACUAGCCUACGACGGGUACGGGUUGUGAGAGCAAGAGCCCGGAGAUGGAUUCUGAGACACGAAUCCAGGCCCUACGGGGUGCAGCAGGCGCGAAAACUUUACAAUGCUGGCAACAGCGAUAAGGGAACCUCGAGUGCCAGGUUACAAAUCUGGCUGUCGAGAUGCCUAAAGAGCAUUUCAUAGCAAGGGCCGGGCAAGACCGGUGCCAGCCGCCGCGGUAACACCGGCGGCUCGAGUGGUAACCGUUAUUAUUGGGUCUAAAGGGUCUGUAGCCGGCCGGAUAAGUCUCUUGAGAAAUCUGGCAGCUUAACUGUCAGGCUUUCAGGAGAUACUGUCUGGCUCGAGGCCGGGAGAGGUGAGAGGUACUUCAGGGGUGGGGGUGAAAUCUUGUAAUCCUUGAAGGACCACCAGUGGCGAAGGCGUCUCACCAGAACGGACCUGACGGCAAGGGACGAAAGCUAGGGGCACGAACCGGAUUAGAUACCCGGGUAGUCCUAGCCGUAAACGAUACUCGCUAGGUGUCGGCCACGGUGCGACCGUUGUCGGUGCCGUAGGGAAGCCGUGAAGCGAGCCACCUGGGAAGUACGGCCGCAAGGCUGAAACU